rnacentral:rRNA from 1 species
GUGAAUGCUAGUGGUAUGCUUUACACAUGCAAGUUGAACGUAAUAUUAUAAAAAAAAUAUUAAGUAGCGUACGGGUGAGUAAAUGAAAGAAUUUAAUCUGUAGUACAGAAUAAAAAAUAGUAAUAUUUAUAUAAAUACUGUAUAAUAUGUACUAAAAAGUAUAUAUAAAGAUUUUUUCGCUACAGAAGAAGCUUUAGAAGGAUUAGGUAGUUGGAAGUGUAAGAGACUAACAAGCCAAAGAUCCUUAGUUGGUCUAAGAGGAUGAUCAGCCACAUUGGGACUGAAAAAGGCCCAAACUUCCAUGGAGGGCAGCAGUGGGGAAUAUUGGACAAUGGGCGAAAGCUUGAUCCAGCAAUAUCACAUGAGAGAUGAAGGCUUUAGUCGUAAAUCUAUUGUGUUAAGGAGGAUAAUGACGUGUACUUAACUAAGAAGUCCCGGCUAACUUCGU